AGACGUCUACAUUAGAUACCCGCGUAGUCCCAGCCGUAAACGAUGCGCGUUAGGUGUAUCGACGACCACGAGUCGUCGAGGUGCCGAAGGGAAACCGUGAAACGUGCCGCCUGGGAAGUACGGUCGCAAGGCUAGAAACUUAAAGGAAUUGGCGGGGAGCACCACAACAGGUGGAGCCUGCGGUUUAAUUGGACUCAACGCCGGAAAUCUCACCGGAUAAGACAGCAGAAUGAUUGCCGGGCUGAAGACUCUGCAUGACUAGCUG
rnacentral:rRNA from 1 species